rnacentral:lncRNA from 10 species
CCACCAUGCCUGGCUAAUUUUGUAUUUUUAGUAGAGAUUGGGUUUCUCCACGUCGGUCAGGCUGGUCUCGAACUCCCGACCUUAGGUGAUCUACCCCCCCACCCUCGGCCUCACAAAGUGCUGGGAUUGCAGGUGUGAGCCACUGAGCCCGGCCGCCUGGCUAAUUUUUUAUUUUUUGUAAAGACAGGGUUUGACUAUGUUGCCCAGGCUGGUCUUGAACUCCUGGACUCAAGCAAUCCUCUUGCCUCAGGCUCCCAAUGUUCUGGGAUUACAAGUGUGAGCCACCACUCUCGGCCUACUUCUUCUUCUUCCUCAUUUGUAAAUACACAUAACGUAAAAUUUACCAACUUAACCAUUUAUAAAUGUACAGUUUAAUGAAAUUAAGUACAUUCGUAUUCUUGUGCAACCAUCAUCACCAUCCAUCUCCAGGACUCUUUUUAUCCUGCAAAACUGAAAUUCUGUACCCAUUAAAUAAUAACUCCUCAUUUCCUCUCCUCUCAGCCCCUGCAACCACUGAAGUUCUACUUUCUGUCUCUUUAAAUUUGACUACUCAAGAAACCUCAUAUCCAAUGUCAGGAAAGCAGCUAUAAACAAUAAGGACAGCGAACAGUAUCCUCAAAGCCAGAAGCCUGGGACUGACUUUUAGCCUGAUGGUGGGGGCAUACACGGAUACAUAAUUUCUGGAAAGUAUUUGGUAAUAUGUAUCAAAAGUCUUACCUGUAUAUUUACCUUGUGACCUAGUACUUUCACCCCUAAGAAUUUAUUUAAAGGAAAUUUAUUUACAGAAAUGAAGAUUUAUUUAUAGGGACAUCCAACUCAGCAUAUAAUAGCAAAAAAUUGGAAAUAACAGUGGAGAAUAGUAAAUUAAUCAAAGAUGGUCAUAACAUAAAAUAUGGCUAACAAUGAAUGUAUAUAUACAUGGAAACAUGCUCACAAUAUCCUGAGUUUAAAAAGUGAAAAAAGGGGCGGGCGUGGUGGCUCACACCUGUAAUCCCAGCA